CGCCCCCGGCGGCGGCGGCGGCGGCUCCCCCGGCCCUGGGCGCGGCGGUGGUUGCGCAGGCGCCGCCGGGCCGGAGAGUUUGGGACGCGCCGGGAAGUUGUGCUGGGUGUGCAGCCGCUGCCGCUCCCACCAUGUCGGGCUCCUCCAACGUGGCGGCCAUGAAGAAGGUGGUGCAGCAGCUGCGCCUGGAGGCCAGCGUGACUCGCGUGAAGGUUUCUCAGGCUGCAGCAGACUUGAAGCAGUUCUGCCUGCAGAAUGCACAACAUGAUCCCCUACUGACAGGAGUAUCAUCGAGUACAAAUCCAUUCAGACCCCAGAAAGUUUGUUCAUUUUUGUAAUUACAUGAACUACUUUGGUAUCUUUCAGUGGAUUACCCACCUGACAGCAUACAUGGUGAAUCCUGAUUGUGACAGAUAAAGCAGACUUUCAUUCUUAAACUUUUAAAGAGCACCAUCAAAGAUGAGUGGUAGCCUCCAAGAGCACUGUCCCCUACAGGAGAUGCCCUCUAAGCCACAAGAAAAAAGAAUUUUGUCAAGGCACCUACUCUACUCAUACAAGCUACUAAAUGGCUAGCAGGUUUAAAUCUUCUAGCAUCUUUUCCUAGCUGCUGAUGUGUGUAUGGGUAGAGUGCCUCAAGGAGUGGCCUGGUUUGAAGUCUGUACAAAAGCUUAGCUUUCAUGUGCCAAAUCUAACUGUAAAAUUGCUACUGUCGAACUUCUUACCAUCUACCUCUCCAAAUGAACUGUAUGCUAGUAAAAUACUUCUGUUUCAUAAGGGAAUCAGUUUUAUAUGCCAAGCAAAAAAUAAAAGUGUCUUGACUUAAUCUG